UUGUUAAGGAACUCGGCAAAUUGACCCCGUAACUUCGGGAUAAGGGGAGCCUCCUACGGGAGGCCGCAGUGAAUAGGCCCAAGCAACUGUUUACCAAAAACACAGGUCUCUGCUAAAUCGAAAGAUGACGUAUAGGGGCUGACGCCUGCCCGGUGCCGGAAGGUUAAGAGGAGAGCUUAGCGCAAGCGAAGGUUCGAAUUGAAGCCCCGGUAAACGGCGGCCGUAAUAAUAACGGUCCUAAGGUAGCGAAAUUCCUUGUCAGGUAAGUUCUGACCCGCACGAAUGGCGUAAUGAUUUGGGCACUGUCUCAACAGCCCGCCCGGCGAAAUUGUAGUACUGGUGAAGAUGCCAGUUACCCGCAACUAGACGGAAAGACCCCAUGGAGCUUUACUGUAGCCUAAUACUGAAGAUCGGUAAUGCAUGUACAGGAUAGGUGGGAGCCAGCGAAACCCGGGCGUCAGCUCGGAUGGAGGCAACCUUGGAAUACCACCCUUGUAUUGCUGGUUUUCUAACCUGCGGCCAUGAAUCUGGUCGGGGGACACUGUUAGGUGGGCAGUUUGACUGGGGCGGUCGCCUCCAAAAGCGUAACGGAGGCGCUCAAAGGUUGGCUCAGCACGGACGGAAAUCGUGCAUAGAGUGCAAACGCAUAAGCCAACUUGACUGCGAGACCGACGGGCCGAGCAGGUACGAAAGUAGGAGUUAGUGAUCCGGUGGUAUGUGAGUGGAAAUGCCAUCGCUCAACGGAUAAAAGCUACCCUGGGAUAACAGGCUGAUCUCCCCCAAGCGUCCACAGCGACGGGGAGGUUUGGCACCUCGAUGUCGGCUCGUCACAUCCUGGGGCUGUAUUCGGUCCCAAGGGUUCGGCUGUUCGCCGAUUAAAGUGGCACGCGAGCUGGGUUCAGAACGUCGUGAGACAGUUCGGUCCCUAUCUGUUGCGGGCGCAGGAGAUUUGAAGGGAGCUGUCCUUAGUACGAGAGGACCGGGAUGGACAGACCUCUGGUGCACCAGUUGUCGUGCCAACGGCACAGCUGGGUAGCUACGUCUGGACGAGAUAAACGUUGAAAGCAUCUAAGUGUGAAACUCCCCCUAAGAUAAGAUCUCCCAUCCAUUAGGAGUAAGGGACGACAGAGACUAUGUCGUUGAUAGGUCGGAAGUGUAAGUGCAGUAAUGCAUUGAGCUUACCGAUACUAAUAACCCGAGGGCUUGACCU
rnacentral:rRNA from 1 species